rnacentral:rRNA from 1 species
UGGGGAAUAUUGCACAAUGGGCGCAAGCCUGAUGCAGCCAUGCCGCGUGUGUGAAGAAGGCCUUCGGGUUGUAAAGCACUUUCAGCGAGGAGGAAGGUGGUGAACUUAAUACGUUCAUCAAUUGACGUUACUCGCAGAAGAAGCACCGGCUAACUCCGUGCCAGCAGCCGCGGUAAUACAGAGGGUGCGAGCGUUAAUCGGAUUUACUGGGCGUAAAGCGUGCGUAGGCGGCCAUUUAAGUCAAAUGUGAAAUCCCCGAGCUUAACUUGGGAAUUGCAUUCGAUACUGGAUGGCUAGAGUAUGGGAGAGGAUGGUAGAAUUCCAGGUGUAGCGGUGAAAUGCGUAGAGGUCUGGAGGAAUACCGGUGGCGAAGGCGGCCCCCUGGACGAAGACUGACGCUCAGGUGCGAAAGCGUGGGGAGCAAAACAGGAUUAGAUACCCUGGUAGUCCGCGCUGUAAACGAUGUCGAUUUGGAGGUUGUGCCCUUGAGGCGUGGCUUCCGGAGCUAACGCGUUAAAUCGACCGCCUGGGGAGUACGGCCGCAAGGUUAAAACUUAAAUGAAUUGACGGGGUCAUAGCUGUUUCCUG